rnacentral:rRNA from 1 species
AUUGAACGCUGGCGGCAGGCCUAACACAUGCAAGUCGAGCGAGCGGCGGACGGGUGAGUAAUGUCUGGGAAACUGCCUGAUAGAGGGGGAUAACUACUGGAAACGGUGGCUAAUACCGCAUACUAUCGGAUGUACCCAUAUGGGAUUAGCUAGUAGGUGGGGUAAAGGCUCACCUAGGCGACGAUCUCUAGCUGGUCUGCGAGGAUGACCAGCCACACUGGAACUGAGAAACGGCCCAGACUCCUACGGGAGGCAGCAGGGGGGAAUAUUGCACAAUGGGCGCAAGCCUGAUGCAGCCAUGCAGCGUGUAUGAAGAAGGCCUUCGGGUUGUAAAGUACUUUCAGCGGGGAGGCGUUACCCGCAGAAGAAGCACCGGCUAACUCCGUGCCAGCAGCCGCGGUAAUAC